rnacentral:tRNA from 1 species
AAUUAGGCGGUGUAAGAUCACAUUAAGUUGCAAGCUUUAAGAAGACUUCUCUAAUUA